UAUUUUACCGACAUUAACAUCUCUAUCUCUCUCCCCUUCGUCGGUUUCCUCCUCCCAAAAUCACUUCUUUCUAUUCCUUCUUCAAAGUCGAUCACGUCUUCUCUCCCAAUUUUGAUCUUAAUUUUCGUCGGGUUACAAAAAGGAUCCAAUCUCGAUCGAAUAAUCUUCUGUCUCUGGAAUCAAAGACAAUUCUGGUUUGUCUCCGGGAGUCGCUGCUUUCACUGGCCGUUUCGAGCCACCGCUAGAAGAAGAUCACUGCUUUCACCUCUCUUAUGAGAAUAGCUUUGCCUACAGCAGCUUUAUCAGGAAGUGAAGAAUUUAGCCCCCCCCCCCCCAGAGAUCAAAUCUAAAGGCAAGGGAAAUAAAUCUGAUGAGGUUGGUGGGAAAGCUACUUUGAACAUUCGUAAGCUCUCCAUCAGGGGUUUACAAUCGAGAAAAAAAAGCUAAGGCCGUGGCUUUGGUUCAACAAGGUCUGUCAAUCCAAUGGGAGUUAUGAGACAGGGGACAACAAAACAACUUCGCAGUGCAAGGCUUACAAACGUCUGAGAAAUACGUCGACAAAUGCUAUAACACUAGAUUUUCUUGUUCGGUUCAAUUAACCAGAUUUGUUCUGUGACAGAAGAAGCCAAGGCUUGUAGUUAGUUGUAAAUGUUUUCUUUAUAAGGCUUUUGUUUAGUACCCAUCGAAACAUAAACCUUCUACUACAUUUUUGCUUCUAUCUUAUAAGACAGAGGAAGACAUGAUUUUUUUUAA